rnacentral:rRNA from 1 species
CCUACGGGCGGCAGCAGUGAGGAAUAUUGGUCAAUGGGCGUAAGCCUGAACCAGCCAAGUAGCGUGCAGGAUGACGGCCCUACGGGUUGUAAACUGCUUUUAUGCGGGGAUAAAACGCGUUACGUGUGAGGCUUUGUAUGUACCGUAUGAAUAAGGACCGGCUAAUUCCGUGCCAGCAGCCGCGGUAAUACGGAAGGUCCGGGCGUUAUCCGGAUUUAUUGGGUUUAAAGGGAGCGUAGGCCGCAUGUUAAGCGUGCCGUGAAAUGUCGGGGCUCAACCAGGGCAUUGCGGCGCGAACUGGCGUGCUUGAGUGCGCGGAAAGUAGGCGGAAUUCGUGGUGUAGCGGUGAAAUGCUUAGAUAUCACGAAGAACUCCGAUUGCGAAGGCAGCAUACGGCAGCGCAACUGACGCUGAAGCUCGAAGGCGCGGGUAUCGAACAGGAUUAGAUACCCGAGUAGUC